rnacentral:rRNA from 1 species
UACGGAGGGUGCAAGCGUUGUUCGGAAUUACUGGGCGUAAAGGGCGCGUAGGCGGUUUGGAAAGUCAGAAGUGAAAUCCCCGGGCUUAACCCGGGAACUGCUUUUGAAACUUCCGGACUAGAGUGAGAUAGGGGAGAAUGGAAUUCCUGGUGUAGCGGUGAAAUGCGUAGAUAUCAGGAGGAACACCAGCGGCGAAGGCGAUUCUCUGGAUCUCAACUGACGCUGAGGCGCGAAAGUGUGGGGAGCAAACAGG